CGGGGUGUGGCGCAGUUGGCUAGCGCGCAGCGUUCGGGACGCUGAGGCCGCCGGUUCAAGUCCGGCCACCCCGACCA
rnacentral:tRNA from 1 species